AUUGCCUCAGUAACGGCGAGUGAAGCGGCAACAGCUCAAAUUUGAAAUCUGGCCCUAGGCCCGAGUUGUAAUUUGCAGAGGAUGCUUUUGGCAAGGUGCCUUCCGAGUUCCCUGGAACGGGACGCCAUAGAGGGUGAGAGCCCCGUCUGGUCGGACACCGAGCCUCUGUAAAGCUCCUUCGACGAGUCGAGUAGUUUGGGAAUGCUGCUCAAAAUGGGAGGUAUAUGUCUUCUAAAGCUAAAUACCGGCCAGAGACCGAUAGCGCACAAGUAGAGUGAUCGAAAGAUGAAAAGCACUUUGAAAAGAGAGUUAAAUAGCACGUGAAAUUGUUGAAAGGGAAGCGUUUAUGACCAGACUUGGCCCGGUUGAUCAUCCACCCUUCUGGGUGGUGCACUCUGCCGGUCCAGGCCAGCAUCAGUUCGCUCCGGGGGAUAAAGGUUUCGGGAAUGUAGCUCCUCCGGGAGUGUUAUAGCCCGUUGCGUAAUACCCUGGGGUGGACUGAGGUCCGCGCUCUGCAAGGAUGCUGGCGUAAUGGUCAUCAACGACCCGUCUUGAAACACGGACCAAGGAGUCGUCUUCGUAUGCGAGUGUUCGGGUGUAAAACCCCUACGCGUAAUGAAAGUGAACGCAGGUGAGAGCUUCGGCGCAUCAUCGACCGAUCCUGAUGUUCUCGGAUGGAUUUGAGUAAGAGCAUACGGGGCCGGACCCGAAAGAAGGUGAACUAUGCCUGUAUAGGGUGAAGCCAGAGGAAACUCUGGUGGAGGCUCGCAGCGGUUCUGACGUGCAAAUCGAUCGUCAAAUAUGGGCAUGGGGGCGAAAGACUAAU
rnacentral:rRNA from 1 species